GCUUGCGUGGCCAAGUGGUAAGGCGUCCCACUCGUAGGUUAAAUCUUGUAAUGGGAAGAUCAGCGGUUCAAUUCCGCUCGUGAGCA
rfam:Pyronema omphalodes CBS 100304, CBS100304, WGS project CATG01000000 data, contig: Pcon_v1_contig597